ensembl:lincRNA Gm26778 predicted gene, 26778
CAAGCAUGGAACCUGGGACCUGUUUUGUUUUGUUUUUUUACAACCACAGAGACUGUCAACACUUUUUAAAAAAAUUACUUAUUAAACCUAAUGUCAUUCCAUUAUUUAUGAGCAUCAAAUGGUAAUUUGAUCAACAUAUGCAAAUGAUUGCCUCUCUGAGAUAGAUUAAUGCAGCCGUGAAUAUCUGAGUAGUUUAUAAUAUUCUUCUGGGUCAUUUCAAAGAUACUGAUGAGAGAGGCUCCACUGUUUGGUACAGUCAUCAAAUUCACAGGUGCUGACCGAGAUUUCAGAACAUUUUAUAAGCCCUAAGGGUUUCUUCUACAACCCAAAGUGCAUGGAGAGGAAAGGACCCAACGACAUCAGCCUGGCUCAGUCAUACUUACCUAUCAUAUAAUGAGAUGACUGCUCAGACUUAACUUGGGCUGAAAAGCACUAAGUUUUUAUGCAUUGCCCCUAACAGCAGAGGGCACAGUCACUCCCAGGAAGAGGUCCAUGUACUGUCCCUUAUACUAAUGGCCCAAUCUUUAACAGGCCAGCCAGUAUGGUGGAAGGUACAGAAAUGUCUGUGUGUUAGUGAGACAAACUGAAUAAUUUUCCAAGCUUCAAUUCAUAAACAAUGCAGACAAAACUUCAGCAGUUUCCCAUGGCUUCUAGUGUUAUGCAGACUUGACAAGGAAGCUAGAACUUCCGUUUUGUCAUCUCUCAGUGUAUUUUGAGCUGUCCUAAAGAUGGUUUUUAUUCAUACAUUUCUUUCUUAAGCAAUCUAGCACUGUUCCGUGGCAUGGGAGAAGUCUGAGACUCACACUUGGCCAGUGAUUGACAGUCCUAAGUCAUUUCAGGCUUGAAACAAAGGUUCUGAGCCAUUACCUGAUCCACCGCCUAAAAACAAGCCCAAAGCUGGAGUAAGCACAGCUUCCUGGACCCCUGCUGCCCUUUCUUUAAAAUCACACACUUUGUACAUGAAGCUAACUCUUCUCUAAAGGAAAAAAAAAUCUCCCAAUUAAAAUGAAGACAUCAUUGGAUUAAAAAUAUGGAUAGCUUGAAUACAGGUAGCUGACACAUGAUUACUAUACAACUAACAUCCCAGCAAAAAAGUAUGGAGCAAACCCAGCCUUGUAGUUGUGACUGUUUUCCUGACCCAAGUUCACAGGCAAGGAUAUGAGAAGCUCACCAAAAUGCGUUGCUUUUGUAUAUACACCAUCAAAUGCAAGUUACCAGGGGUAAAUAUAGGAAAUUUUAUAGCAUCAGUAGAUGAAUUAAAAAACUAAAUGAUUCGUGUAAAAUGUUUGUAUAUGGUAUGUACAGAUUUGAUCACAGGAGUCUGAGAAUAAAACUGUCCCAAUUCAUAACAUCUGCCUCGGAUAUGAUGAGAUACACGGUACAAGGUUCGUUUUUUAAAAACAAGGAAAAAAUAGCUCUAAUUUAAACACUUCAAAUGGCUCUUACAAAAAUCCUUAAAAACAUAUUUCAGAGUAAGAUGAUAAAACAAACACACACACAUACACAAAGGCUUCUCUGUAAUCACAGAUUAUCCAAAGGACGUCUCUCAGAGGGAAGCAUACGGGCAUACCUCCUCUCUGCUGUGGUGUGGAAGCAUACGGGCAUACCUCCUCUCUGCUGUGGUGUACACAGGAUACACACUGGGAAUUCAUUCCACGUGAGAGGAAAGGCAAUAAGGCAAAGGUCCCCUGUUUCUGUUGCAUUCACCUAAAUACCGCGUUAUUGCUCGGCUCACACUGAAGUACUUAUUUGCCUUCAUUUAGAAACAUUCCACUUGACAGCUAUCUACAGAUGGGCAGCCCCCCCCCCCCNNNCGUGCUUCCGUUGAUCUUUCGAAUCUGUCACUGCAACGUCAAACAAACGCAGGAAAGAAAGAGCAUUGUUCCGGUUUUCAGAACAGCCCAGCAGCCCACACUUGCUGGCCUUGCAGAAAACAUCAAUUUAAAAACACUACUGCUAACAAUAAUAAUAAUAAUAAUAAAGAGAUCUGAAGUCUAAGUAAUUAAAAAUCAAACUUAUUUUGCUUAAGUAAAUAGGCUAUAAGUGAGGAAAUAGAAUCAACAAGAAAAAUAAAUGUUCAAAUCACUAAAAACUCUACUAGGUAACUCUUUGGUUAGGUUAUACAAGUAUUAGCAACUAAGUUUAGGACUCAAAAUAGCUCGAUAGACUUCCAGCUGAAGAUGGGUCUUCUACUAAUCUUGAUAAAAUCUAAGUUUACACGUACUGUUUCAUAUUUUUUUAAAUGCGCACAUACUCAAAUGGAUUAUACAAACUUCCAACUUUCAAAUAAUAAAUGAGCAUGUCCCCCUCCUCCCUCCCGCCCUUCCUCCCAUCUUUCCUCCCUCCCCAACCCUCCCACAGUCCUAGACCUAAGUAAGGGCUGACUGUCCCUACUAACCACUCCUGCGUUACUGGGUCACUGCCAGGUGACUUCUAGAAGCGCUGCCUCCCGCUCCCUGCCUGCUCCUAGCCUAGAAGCCUUAACCAACAAAACCUAAAGCUCGGCAAACAGCUGAAGAGAAAGGGCGCCUCCGCAGGCAGGAGGAUUGCUUUCUACAAUUUUAAGCCACAGGAGAUCUAAUGUGUUGGGGGUAAAUAGAACUCUCCCCUGUUGCCAGUACUAGAAUUUACUUCUACCUGUAACUUUAAAAACAAACAAAAAAAUCUCUUUAUUUACAGUCUCUGAACUGCGUCCUUGGGGUCUUCCAGCAUACGGUCUACCAUUCAAUUGUCUAAAACUCUCUUUCUAAUGAGGGUCAAAUCUCUAACAACCUUUUAAAGCACUCUCUCCACACAGCACUCUCAGUUCUGAUCUCUGAAACCGCUAUGGAGUCAAAGGGUUUAAGAUGUCAAGGACUCGUCCGAACUGCACGCCGGACACCGUGCAAUCCGAUUCUGAUCAAUUCAGUCAUUCCCAGGUACUUGGUGACUGUCCCACUAGAUCACGACAAUCUGGGGGAAGGGUGGUUGGAGGCCAGGAGUAGAGGAAGCAUGAGUGAAGGGCUACAUCAGAACACUCUCUCGGCUAGUGGGGUCCAAAGAUGAUGAAGACGCCCAGAGGAUUUGUGGCUGCAGAUUCGCAAGUGGGGUGCAGACGGGUCUGGGUGACCUACUAGGAGAUCUGGGGGUGGGGGCAGAAGGAAUCGGGAAACAGGGAGGAAGCGAGGGCAUCUAUAAUCCUGUCCCCCGAGGGGAGGAAGGGAAGUGGGCACCGGAGUGGCGAGGGGCGGGCGUGGGGAGCUCACUCCCUGCAGAAGACGUACUCGGUGUAGCUGGUCCAGAUCUUGUCCUCGCUCUGGUCGGUGCUGCUAGCAAAAGCGCAGGUGCCCGUGGAGCUGCACGCCACCAUGUGGAAGCCCGACUCGGACAGCUUAUCGAAGGCCUGCUCUAGGAAGUUGAACUUGAGGUAAUAGCGGGAGGUGUAGCGCUCCGGGGGCCGGUCGGGGUCCCGGCUCUCAUUCAGGGUGUCCCCAAACACCUCCUUGGCCAGCGACGUCUUGCCGCACACGGUGAUGCGCGCCACCCGCCGGAACUUGGCGUCCGCCUGAGCGUCGCGCCCGAUGGUGUAGGAGCCGCGGUAGCCGAUGGUGAUGUAGCCGGAGCGCCGGCUGCCGUCCAAAGACUGGGACGGCGUGAGCAGGGGCCCCGCCGCGCCCCCGGACGGGCUGCGGCUAGCCAGCUCCAGCGUGGGUAAUCCUCGGGUGCUGUCCGCCAGAGCCAUGGCCAAAAAGAGGUGGCCCGGAUGGGCCAAGUGGCAGGGAGCGGGGUCGCGAUCGGAAGCCCCAGCGGCUCUUAUCGGGGAGCCCUGC